AUCUACAGCCAUGUCACCCUGAACGUGCCCGAUCUCAUCUGAUCUCAGAAGCUAAGCAAGGUCGGGCCUGGAUAGUACUUGGAUGGGCGACCACCUAGGAAGACUAGGUACUGUAGGUG
rnacentral:rRNA from 1 species